AAGUCGUAACAAGGUUUCCGUAGGUGAACCUGCGGAAGGAUCAUUAUCGAAUUUGAUUGAGGUUGCAGCUGGCCUUUCGGGGCAUGUGCUCGCCUUUCUCAUCCACACACCACCGUGCACCUUCUGUGGCGUGGCGAUCGCUUCACGGCGUCGCCUGCUGCGUCUAUAUAAACACUAUACAAGUCUAGAAUGUCUAAUUGCGAUAAAAAGCAUCUAAUACAACUUUCAACAACGGAUCUCUUGGCUCUC
rnacentral:misc_RNA from 1 species